AACGAACGCUGGCGGCAUGCCUAACACAUGCAAGUCGAACGAGACCUUCGGGUCUAGUGGCGCACGGGUGCGUAACGCGUGGGAACCUGCCCUUAGGUUCGGAAUAACUCCCCGAAAGGGGUGCUAAUACCGGUUAAUGUCUUCGGACCAAAGAUUUAUCGCCUUUGGAUGGGCCCGCGUUGGAUUAGCUAGUUGGUAGGGUAAAAGCCUACCAAGGCGACGAUCCAUAGCUGGUCUGAGAGGAUGAUCAGCCACACUGGGACUGAGACACGGCCCAGACUCGUACGGGAGGGAGCAGUGGGGAAUAUAGGACAAGGGGCGAAAGCCUGAUAAAGCAAUGCGGCGUGAGUGAUGAAGGCCUUAGGGUUGUAAAGCUGUUUUACCCGGGAUGAGAAUGACAGUACCGGGAGAAUAAGCUCCGGCUAACUCCGUG
rnacentral:rRNA from 1 species